UACGAAGGGGGCUAGCGUUGCUCGGAAUCACUGGGCGUAAAGGGCGCGUAGGCGGUGCGAGAAGCGUGUGGUGAAAGGCCGGGGCUCAACCCCGGCUCGGCCGUGCGGACUCUCGCGCUUGGUGAGUGCUGUAGAGGCGGGCGGAAUUCCGGGUGUAGCGGUGGAAUGCGUAGAGAUCCGGAAGAACACCGGUGGCGAAGGCGGCCCGCUGGGCAGUGACUGACGCUGAGGCGCGACAGCGUGGGGAGCAAACAGG
rnacentral:rRNA from 1 species